rnacentral:lncRNA from 1 species
CCAGUUCUCUUCCAUCGCCACCUCUGUUUAUCCGCUGGCCAUUGGCCCCAGGGACUGCCAGUCGGCUCUGGGGACGGCCUCCAACUUGAGGUUCCAGCCUAACUCCGCACCUAUUGGCAGAUAGAAGGUUACCUCCUCCUGAUUGGGCAAGGUGUUGUCAGUGAGACUAAGGAAAGAACCAAUGGGAGGGAUGGGGUGUGUCUUGCCCCACCCUAGCUCUGAGCAGAAUGCUCCCUGCGUGUCAGCCUGGAACAUGCUGCAACACGCCAGCCCCAAGCUCAGCGCUCAGGCCAGCCCGGGGCUGGGCGGAGGCACGGCCACCACAGCAGGAAAGGCUGGGAUGAGAGCUGCGUCUCUCCUCCCAGGUCAAGGGGUUUUCUGCACAUCUAUUAAGCACCUACUGCAUGCCUGCCAGAGUUCAGUGGAAGCAGAGUCCUUGGGCCUCCAAGAACACAUACAGUUAAUUCAACACUGCAGCUUUCCGGGGCCUUGGAAUAAAGAAGCUCCCUCUCCCGUGGCGUUCCAGCAGAGGGAAAGGAAAGCCCACAAGCCGGGGUCCUUCCCAGGUGGCAGGCUGGAAUCAGCUGGCAAGAAGAAAAGCGAGAAGCAUCUUGAGCACAGGCCAUCUCUGAGCCCGGGGGCAGAGCCAUUGUAGAUCCGGGAAAGGGGCCCCUGUGCUGAGUGGCGCCCCUCCAAAGGCCCCCUCUCCAGCCCUCCUUGGGUUGAGCCCUCCACACAUGGCCAAAGGGAUGAGCCUACACAGAGUUGAUAGCUCUCCCCUUCAAGACCACACUCUGGGUACGGAAACUCUGCAAUUCCUUGCCCAGCGCUGACCUGGCUUCUAGGGCUGCGGUCUCUCACUCCAGCCCUUCCUCCUGAGGACAGCAGCACCGUACGUAGUAUGUGCACAUUUAGGCAAAGUGGUGAUGAGGGGCAGUUGUGGGGCGGGAUGGACACAGCACAGACAAGCAAGCUGGGGUGUCUACACACAUGUGCUGGAGGCCCUUUGUGGUGUCGGGGACCCCAGGGUUCAAAGGGAAGGGGAGAUGGCCCAGGGGCUGGGGGCCAGGGGCCAGUGAUCCUGGAGCUGCUGUGUUCUGAGGAGUCUGAGAAUUCUCAGUUCCAUCUUGGUCAUUGCGGAGAUGUACUUAUCAAGUUAUAGCUUAUUUAACAGUUUGUUUGCUUGGUUUUAUCUUUUUUGGACUACAGUGUGUGGACCUCCCUUUGCACUCCUGCCCCUGCCCCCUUGUGUUGCAGGGGACUUGCUCGGGUGACCCCUUCAGGGCUGGGGAGGGGAGACUGG